rnacentral:rRNA from 1 species
UACGGAGGGUGCAAGCGUUGUCCGGAUUUAUUGGGUUUAAAGGGUGCGUAGGCGGCCUGUUAAGUCCGGGGUGAAAGCCCGUUGCUCAACAACGGAACUGCCCUGGAUACUGGCGGGCUUGAGUACAGGCGAGGUUGUCGGAAUGGACCGAGUAGCGGUGAAAUGCAUAGAUACGGUCCAGAACCCCGAUUGCGAAGGCAGCUGACUAGGCUGUUACUGACGCUGAGGCACGACAGCGUGGGGAGCGAACAGG